rnacentral:rRNA from 1 species
GGGGUUUGUUUUUUACUAACUAGAUCGAGCCUUUCUUUCUAGGAAACCGGCUGCCUUUAAUUGGGAUGGCCUUGAGUUUUACUAGGACUUUUACUUUGAAAAAAUUAGAGUGUUCAAAGCAGGCAUAAUAUGCUUGAAUACAUUAGCAUGGAAUAAUAAAAUAGGACUUUGGUUCUAUUUUGUUGGCUUCUAGGACCGAAGUAAUGAUUAAUAGGGAUAGUUGGGGACGUUUGUAUUUUGCUGU